rnacentral:rRNA from 1 species
CGCAAGCCUGACGGAGCCAGACCGCGUGAGGGAAGAAAGACCUUGGUUCGUAAACCUCUUUUCUCAAGGAAGAAGAAGUGACGGUACUUGAGGAAUCAGCAUCGGCUAACUCCGUGCCAGCAGCCGCGGUAAUACGGAGGAGGCAAGCGUUAUCCGGAAUUAUUGGGCGUAAAGCGUCCGCAGGGGGCGCAUCAAGUCUGCUGUUAAAGGCUGGAGCUCAACUCCGGUAGAGCAGUGGAAACUGGUGCGCUAGAGGGCGACAGGGGUAGAGGGAAUUCCCAGUGUAGCGGUGAAAUGCGUAGAGAUUGGGAAGAACACCGGUGGCGAAAGCGCUCUACUGGGUCGCACCUGACCCUCAGGGACGAAAGCUAAGGUAGCG